rnacentral:misc_RNA from 1 species
UUACUGAGUUUACGCUCUACAACCCUUUGUGAACAUACCUAUAACUGUUGCUUCGGCGGGUAGGGUCUCCGUGACCCUCCCGGCCUCCCGCCCCCGGGCGGGUCGGCGCCCGCCGGAGGAUAACCAAACUCUGAUUUAACGACGUUUCUUCUGAGUGGUACAAGCAAAUAAUCAAAACUUUUAACAACGGGAUCUCUUGGUUCUGGCAUCGAUGAAGAACGCAGCGAAAUGCGAUAAGUAAUGUGAAUUGCAGAAUUCAGUGAAUCAUCGAAUCUUUGAACGCACAUUGCGCCCGCCAGCAUUCUGGCGGGCAUGCCUGUUCGAGCGUCAUUUCAACCCUCAAGCUCUGCUUGGUGUUGGGGCCCUACAGCUGAUGUAGGCCCUCAAAGGUAGUGGCGGACCCUCCCGGAGCCUCCUUUGCGUAGUAACUUUACGUCUCGCACUGGGAUCCGGAGGGACUCUUGCCGUAAAACCCCCAAUUUUCCAAAGGUUGACCUCGGAUCAGGUAGGAAUACCCGCUGAACUUAAGCAUAUCAAUAAGCGGAGGAAAAGAAACCAACAGGGAUUGCCUCAGUAACGGCGAGUGAAGCGGCAACAGCUCAAAUUUGAAAUCUGGCCCUAGGCCCGAGUUGUAAUUUGCAGAGGAUGCUUUUGGUGCGGUGCCUUCCAAGUUCCCUAGAACGGGACGCCAGAGAGGGUGAGAGCCCCGUACAGUUGGACACCAAGCCUUUGUAAAGCUCCUUCGACGAGUCGAGUAGUUUGGGAAUGCUGCUCAAAAUGGGAGGUAUAUUUCUUCUAAAGCUAAAUACCGGCCAGAGACCGAUAGCGCACAAGUAGAGUGAUCGAAAGAUGAAAAGCACUUUGAAAAGAGGGUUAAACAGCACGUGAAAUUGUUAAAAGGGAAGCGCUUGUGACCAGACUUGCGUCCGGUGAAUCACCCAGCUCUCGCGGCUGGGGCACUUCGCCGGCUCAGGCCAGCAUCAGCUCGCUGUCGGGGACAAAAGCUUCAGGAACGUAGCUCUCUUCGGGGAGUGUUAUAGCCUGUUGCAUAAUACCCUUCGGCGGGCUGAGGUACGC